GACGAACGCUGGCGGCGUGCUUAACACAUGCAAGUCGAACGGAAAGGCCCCUUUGGGUGUACUCGAGUGGCGAACGGGUGCGUAACACGUGAGUAACCUGCCCUUGACUUCGGGAUAACUUCAGGAAACUGGGGCUAAUACCGGAUAGGAAUCCUUGCUGCAUGGUGGGGGUUGGAAAGCUUCGGCGGUUUUGGAUGGACUCGCGGCUUAUCAGCUUGUUGGUGGGGUAGUGGCUUACCAAGGCUUUGACGGGUAGCCGGCCUGAGAGGGCGACCGGCCACAUUGGGACUGAGAUACGGCCCAGACUCCUACGGGAGGCAGCAGUGGGGAAUAUUGCACAAUGGGCGGAAGCCUGAUGCAGCAACGCCGCGUGCGGGAUGACGGCUUUCGGGUUGUAAACCGCUUUCAGCAGGGGCGAAGCUUGUGGUGACGGUACCUGCAGAAGAAGCACCGGCUAACUACGUG
rnacentral:rRNA from 1 species